rnacentral:rRNA from 1 species
UGGAGCAUGUGGUUUAAUUCGAUGGUACGCGAGGAACCUUACAGGGCUUGACAUACGCCGGAAGCGCAUCGAAAGGUGCGUGCCGCUUGCGGCCGGCGUACAGGUGCUGCAUGGCUGUCGUCAGCUCGUGCUGUGAAGUGUUGGGUUAAGUCCCGCAACGAGCGCAACCCCUGCUGCCUGUUGCCACCACGAGAGGUGGGGACUCAGGCGGGACCGCCGGUGACAAACCGGAGGAAGUGGGGACGACGUCAAGUCAUCAUGGCCCUUAUGUCCUGGGCUACACACGUGCUACAAUGGCCGGUACAGAGCGCAGCGAGGCCGCGAGGCGGAGCGAAUCGCUUAAAGCCGGUCCCAGUACGGAUUGGAGUCUGCAACCCGACUCCAUGAAGUUGGAAUCGCUAGUAAUCGCGCAUCAGCAUGGCGCGGUGAAUACGUUCCCGGGCCUU